rnacentral:rRNA from 1 species
GACGAACGCUGGCGGCGUGCUUAACACAUGCAAGUCGAGCGGUAAGGCUCCUUCGGGGGUACACGAGCGGCGAACGGGUGAGUGACACGUGAGUAAUCUGCCCUUCACUUCGGGAUAACCAUCGGAAACGGUGGCUAAUACCGGAUAUGACUCGUCCCUGCAUGGGGGUGGGUGGAAAGUUUUUUCGGUGGAGGAUGUGCUCGCUGCCUAUCUGCUUGUUGGUGAGGUAACGGCUCACCAAGGCUUCGACGGGUAGCCGGCCGGAGAGGGUGACCGGCCACACUGGGACUGAGACACGGCACAGACUCCGACGGGGGGCAGCAGUGGGGAAUAUUGGACAAUGGGCGGAAGACUGAUCCAGCAACGCCGCGUGAGGGAUGACGGCCUUCGGGUUGUAAACCUCUUUUAGUAGGGAAGAAGCGAAAGUGACGGUACCUGCAGAAAAAGCACCGGCUAACUACGUGCCAGCCGCCGCAGUAACAC